CCUACGGGUGGCAGCAGUGAGGAAUAUUGGUCAAUGGGCGUAAGCCUGAACCAGCCAAGUCGCGUGAGGGAUGAAGGUUCUAUGGAUCGUAAACCUCUUUUAUAAGGGAAUAAAGUGUGGGACGUGUCCUGUUUUGUAUGUACCUUAUGAAUAAGGAUCGGCUAACUCCGUGCCAGCAGCCGCGGUAAUACGGAGGAUCCGAGCGUUAUCCGGAUUUAUUGGGUUUAAAGGGUGCGUAGGCGGCCUUUUAAGUCAGCGGUGAAAGUCUGUGGCUCAACCAUAGAAUUGCCGUUGAAACUGGGUGCCUUGAGUGGGCGAGAAGUACGCGGAAUGCGUGGUGUAGCGGUGAAAUGCAUAGAUAUCACGCAGAACUCCGAUUGCGAAGGCAGCGUACCGGCGCCCAACUGACGCUGAAGCACGAAGGCGUGGGUAUCGAACAGGAUUAGAUACCCGGGUAGUC
rnacentral:rRNA from 1 species